UACAGCCUCAACAUAAUGAGCUUGGUUUUUUGAUUGGUGAGCCUUCAUCCCUUAAACUCAAAAAUAUGCAACCCAUAGUCCAUGAGAAACAAGCUUAAUUUCACCAAAAUCCACCUUUCACACUGCACAUGCUUCUGAUUCACUGUAAACUAAUUCCUUUAAAAAUAGCAUGCACCACAAGAAAAUAGGUUUUAUUCGAUGAAAAAAAUUUCCUUAGAAAUUUCUUAUGGAUUUCUAACGGAAUUCCAAUAAAAAUUGUUGUGAUUAUUUUUGAUAGAUUUUCGACGGAUUUUCAAUAGAAAUAUACUAACAGAGGAUUUCCGUUGGAGAUUUUUUCAACAAAAAAGAAAAUUCUCCCACCAACUUUUCUGACAAAAUUUUCAAUGGAUUUUCAUUGAAAUUUUUCAAUGAAAACUUAUCUGUUGGAAAUCAGUUACAAAGUUUAAUGACCUAAAAAAAUUUAAACCCUUCUAAAUUAUUCUAAUCCCUAACCAGUGGUUCACUUUCCUAAAUUUCUCUUUGCUUCCUCCCAUUGGAUCUACUCUUCUUUCUGUGCUGCCUGCUGUGAAGCAUCCCGUUUCGCUCGCUAUUGUGCCUUGCCCAUAAGAAUGGAUUUCGCUCUGCCUCUUUCUCUUCGAAAGGUGUAAUAUUCAUCCAAGGAUUCUUGUGCUGAGAGCAGAGGGCGAUACCCAUUUGCUGGCUCACUCAUCCUUCCCAAAAUUGUUUUCUUUUCUGCCAUUGCCGAAAAUCUUCGUUAGCUGUGCUGUUUUUGAAGGAUCUCCGUUUCGCUCCUCAUCAACAUCUGCACUUUGUUGUCUAUCAGUCGAUUUUCAUCAGAGUUUUUUCCUCCUUUGCCGAGACUCCAUCUUAUUUGGCUUUGGAUUCCUAAGCAGAAAGCUAGAGCAGUGAGCUGGUUAAAUCACUUUCUGCAUUUUUUUGCUCUCAUCUCAAUAUCUUCUACUGUUAUCCUCAAGAUCUUCUAACAGUCUCUGUUGCUGUCAUUCAGCACAGGAAUGAUGGUUAAAGGGAAGCACUCAAAAUCGAGACCUAGAUCAACAAAUGCCUCUGGAAUUAUGUCACUGCCCAUAAAUGCUAGUGCGUUUGCUGAUCUAUCCAUUCAACCAUAGACGCAGCAGGUCAAUAAUGAUGGGCCUUCUGAGCCACCUUUUUUGUUGGGUGCAUCUGCAGAGCAAGUAGAAAAUGAGUCGUCUACUAACGAUUCUCGUAGAUCUCCAUCUAUUGAUUUAGGUGCAAGUGUAGAUGAUACAUCUUCAAGGUCAAGGGGCAGGGGGUUUGAUGUAGGAUUACAAACUCCUGUAGAUCCAUCGGACAGAUUGCGUAUAACUUCUAUUAGGGAAAGGAAAAAUGUGUUUGGCCUGUAAAUCAAGAUCUGUUGGUUCGACGAAUAUGAGAUAAACUUUAUUUCGAUCGGUUAAGAGAUAUGUUUUUAGAAAAAAGGAAUAAAGCAAUGACAGAAGCUAAAACAGACAACAUUAGGGAUUGCAAAGGCAUGUCAAGGGAAUGAAUCACAAAUGAAAAUUGGGAUGCCCUUAUCGAUACGGCAUGGGGUACAGAAGAAUGGGAAAACAAAUCGAGAAAAGCAAGGAAAAAUCGUUUAACGCCAAAAGAAGGAAACAUGCCAAAGUACACUGGUGGUUCAGUUCCAUCUGUGGUUCAUGCAAAAAGGAUGGAAAUGUAUAAUUUUGUAUUAUCGCAGAAGUAUGGUGAAGAUUCAUCUUCUCAGCUAGAAUUCGAUCCGUAUGCUUGAACUGAAGCAAUUGGAGGGAUGGAGGUUACACACACUCACGUGUAUGGGUUUGGUACUCGAGUGCCAAUUACAGCUCCAUUGAGUGAAACCCACUGCAAUGUAGCAACAUCUGAGUCUGCAUGUGGCCCUAUCAGCUUAAACAUGUCCAGUCCUGUAAUUGCAUUAGAAGAAAAAGUAAAAAAUCUAUGAAAAAAUUUAAGCAAGAUACGUGAAGAAAUACGUGAAGAAAUUAAGAAUGCAAUGGUAGAAAGCAUGACUGAAUUUAUAGCAUGUAUAGAAACCAUGAUCAUGGCUAAUGCGCUUUUAAAACAAGGAAAUGCGGGUACUUCAUGAUCAAAUCUCGACAAGUAAGAACAUAGCAAUUUUCAUGAUAUGAUGUAUCUUUUUCAC